rnacentral:ncRNA from 1 species
CCGCCGGGACGGCCUGGACGGGACAACCCAGAUCCUGCGGGACGACCCGC